UACAUUAAGGUGUGCAGUCCAAAUCAGU
rnacentral:piRNA from 1 species